rnacentral:rRNA from 1 species
AACUUUAAAAAUAAAGGAUAAAAACAAAAAUAAAAUGAUAUAGGGCAUCCAAUAAUUAAGAAUAUAUAUGGGGUUGUGAGAAAUAUAUCCGUCCCAUAAGUUGUUGAAAAAAAAAAAACUCUCCAAGGAGGUAAUGGGAACCGGCCCGGGGAGGGUGAUGGGCCCCAAGGGACUUGGUCCACGGCCAUUACUCUUAGGGGAGGCAGCAGUGGGGAAUAUUGGACAAUGGACCGAGAGUCUGAUCCAGCAAUUCUGUGUGCACGAUGAAGUUUUUCGGAAUGUAAAGUGCUUUCAGUUGGGAAGAAAGAAAUGACGGUACCAACAGAAGAAGUGACGGCUAAAUACGUGCCAGCAGCCGCGGUAAUACGUAUGUCACGAGCGUUAUCCGGAUUUAUUGGGCGUAAAGCGCGUCUAGGUGGUUAUAUAAGUCUGAUGUGAAAAUGCAGGGCUCAACUCUGUAUUGCGUUGGAAACUGUAUAACUAGAGUACUGGAGAGGUAAGCGGAACUACAAGUGUAGAGGUGAAAUUCGUAGAUAUUUGUAGGAAUGCCGAUGGGGAAGCCAGCUUACUGGACAGAUACUGACGCUGAAGCGCGAAAGCGUGGGUAGCAAACAGG